GGUCAAGCGAACAAGUGCAUGUGGUGGAUGCCUUGGCGAUCACAGGCGAUGAAGGACGCGGUAGCCUGCGAAAAGCUCCGGGGAGCUGGCAAACAAGCUUUGAUCCGGAGAUGUCCGAAUGGGGAAACCCACCUCUUCUGAGGUAUCCGUAGCUGAAUACAUAGGCUACGAGAAGCGAACGCGGUGAACUGAAACAUCUAAGUAACCGCAGGAAAAGAAAUCAACCGAGAUUCCCAAAGUAGUGGCGAGCGAAAUGGGAUCAGCCUGUACUCUUUAUCUGUACUGUUAGCCAAACGCUCUGGAAAGUGCGGCCAUAGCGGGUGAUAGCCCCGUAGGCGAAAACAGCAUGGAAGAACUAGGUGUACGACAAGUAGGGCGGGACACGUGAAAUCCUGUCUGAAGAUGGGGGGACCAUCCUCCAAGGCUAAAUACUCGUGAUCGACCGAUAGUGAACCAGUACCGUGAGGGAAAGGCGAAAAGAACCCCGGGAGGGGAGUGAAAUAGAUCCUGAAACCGCAUGCAUACAAACAGUCGGAGCCUCGCAAGGGGUGACGGCGUACCUUUUGUAUAAUGGGUCAGCGACUUACAUUCAGUGGCAAGCUUAACCGAUUAGGGCAGGCGUAGCGAAAGCGAGUCCGAACAGGGCGUUCAGUCGCUGGGUGUAGACCCGAAACCAGGUGAUCUAUCCAUGGCCAGGUUGAAGGCACGGUAACACGUGCUGGAGGACCGAACCCACUAACGUUGAAAAGUUAGGGGAUGAGCUGUGGAUAGGGGUGAAAGGCUAAACAAACCUGGAAAUAGCUGGUUCUCUCCGAAAACUAUUUAGGUAGUGCCUCGUGUAUCACCUUCGGGGGUAGAGCACUGUCAUGGUUGUGGGGUCCAUUGCGGAUUACUACGCCAUAGCAAACUCCGAAUACCGAAGAGUGCAAUCACGGGAGACAGACAUCGGGUGCUAACGUCCGGUGUCAAGAGGGAAACAACCCAGACCGCCAGCUAAGGUCCCCAAAUAUGACUAAGUGGGAAACGAAGUGGGAAGGCUAAAACAGUCAGGAGGUUGGCUUAGAAGCAGCCACCCUUUAAAGAAAGCGUAAUAGCUCACUGAUCGAGUCGUCCUGCGCGGAAGAUGUAACGGGGCUAAGUCAUAUACCGAAGCUGCGGAUGCACAUUAAUGUGCAUGGUAGGAGAGCGUUCCGUAAGCCUGCGAAGGUGCACUGGAAAGUGUGCUGGAGGUAUCGGAAGUGCGAAUGCUGACAUGAGUAGCGAUAAAGGGGGUGAAAGGCCCCCUCGCCGUAAGCCCAAGGUUUCCUACGCAACGUUCAUCGGCGUAGGGUGAGUCGGCCCCUAAGGCGAGGCAGAAAUGCGUAGCUGAUGGGAAGCAGAUUAAUAUUUCUGCACCAUUGUGAAAUGCGAUGGGGGGACGGAUCGCGGAAGGUUGUCCGGGUGUUGGAAGUCCCGGUCGCUGCAUUGGAGAAGGCGCUUUGGCAAAUCCGGGCGCAGGAUUCAAGGGUGUGGCGCGAGCUUCUUAGGAAGCGAAGCAACUGGAAGGGGUUCCAGGAAAAGCCUCUAAGCUUCAGUUUCACAGUGACCGUACCGCAAACCGAC
rnacentral:ncRNA from 1 species